rnacentral:rRNA from 1 species
AGAGAGAGACAUGCGCGCAUAUCAAUAAGCGGAGGAAAAGAAACUAACAAGGAUUCCCUUAGUAGCGGCGAGUGAAGCGGGAAGAGCUCAAAUUUGAAAUCUUCAAGGUUUUACCUUGACGAAUUGUAGUUUAAAGAAGUGUUUUCUGCUGAAGUUUUGGUAAAAGUUCUUUGGAAUAGGACAUCAUAGAGGGUGAGAAUCCCGUAUUUGACCAUUAUUUUCAGCUUUGUGAUACACUUUCAAAGAGUCGGAUUGUUUGGGAAUGCAGUCCAAAAUGGGUGGUAAAUUUCAUCUAAAGCUAAAUAUUGGCGAGAGACGAUAGCGAACAAGUACCGUGAGGGAAAGAUGAAAAGAACUUUGAAAAGAGAGUUAAACAGUACGUGAAAUUGUCAAAAGGGAAGCGUUUGACACCAGUGUUGUUUUCUCGAAAAUCAAUUAAAAAUGGCUCGAUUUUGUAUUGUUGAGACCUUAAAAGCUCACUGUACAUUUUUCGUGUCUUUUUUAAUGCACUUUUCGUUUAACAAGUCAACAUCAGUUUCUUUUGUUGUAAAAGGGUCAUUGGAAGGUGGCUUUCUUUUCGGAGAAAGUGUUUAUAGCCUUUGGCCUCUGCAAUCGGAAGAGACUGAGGUCUGCAGCGUAGACUCUUCGGGGUUAGAUACAUUUGUGCUAAGUUAUAGCUUUUUAUAGACAACUUGUUGACUAUAAUUAGUCUUGUAGCUUACUCGCUUAUGCUAUUUUACCUACGCUUAGGAUGUUGAAGAUGUAGCACAUCAU